CUUUACGGCUGUAUUACAGAAAUCUGAUUUGCUUACAAAAAAGCUAUAAGCAGUGAACAAUUAAGAAACUAAGAGCCAAAGGAUUCCAAGAAUGAAGAAUUAUUCCCAGUCAUGCAAGGGUGAAGAGAGUCUUCUCUGCUGGUGGGAGGAUCAACUGUUUCCGUAUUUUUUGGAAAGCAGUUUGACACAAUGUAUGAAAAGUAAAAA
rnacentral:lncRNA from 10 species